rnacentral:rRNA from 1 species
CGGGGGGAGCAAGCGUUGUUCGGAUUUACUGGGCGUAAAGGGCGCGUAGGCGGCGCAACAAGUCACUUGUGAAAUCUCCGGGCUUAACCCGGAGCGGCCAAGUGAUACUGUCGUGGCUAGAGUGCGGAAGGGGCGUACUGGAAUUCUCGGUGUAGCGGUGAAAUGCGUAGAUAUCGAGAGGAGCACCUGCGGCGAAGGCGGGUAGCUGGGCCGACACCGACGCUGAGGCGCGAAAGCCAGGGGAGCGGAACGGGAUUAGGAUACCCCGGUAGUCCUGGCCUUAAACGAUGGAUGCUUGGUGUCCGGGGUUACAUAGUCCCCGGGUGCCGGCGCUAACGCAUUAAGCAUCCCGCCUGGGGUGUACGGUCGCAAGACUG